rnacentral:lncRNA from 1 species
UGUGACUAAUUUACACUGAUAAGAGGUAACUCAACACUAAGAAAUAGUCAAUCUACCUUCAAAAAAAAAGUACAAAAUUAAACUAAAACAAGCUAUACCUAUCAAAUAUUUUACUAUCGACGUUGAUCCCAAUAGCUUCACCAGCAGUUUUUGAUCCCUCGGCUUCCUAUCAAGCCCAUAUAUAAUAUUGAGGUUAAUAUUAGCAAGAACAACAACUUAAAAUAUCAAAAUUAAGUGCAUGCCAUCGAAAUAUAAAAUAAAGUAGCAAAAUCUUUGAAGAAACACCAAACAAAUUGAACAGAAAAUAACAAAAAAAUGAACUAAAAAUAAAAGAAAGAAGUACUGAAACCAUUAGAACAAUAAUGUUUUCUAAUAAUAGUAAUUUUCGUUCUGUUGCCCAUUUUUCUAGUAAUAGAUUACUAUUUUGAUGUUAUAUAUUCAAUUAACUGAAUAAAUCAUAGAUUAUCGGACUGAACAAAAAAAAAUAGAACAGAAUUGGGGAAAAUCGCUACACUUCCAAACAUGCAUGAACCCUAAUAAAGAGAAAAGAACUUUUGUUACUAAAUAUGCAUCAUUACCUGAAGAUUAUUGAAGUUGCUACACGAAUUUUAUGUACUUUUUGUGUUUUGAAUCUCGAUUCUUCUAGCCGGAGAAAGUAAUUGGGAGAAAUAGAAGA